ensembl:lncRNA
AUUCCCCUCGCGGAUACGUGUGACUCCGGGCCACACGGCCGUGCCCGCAGCUGAGCGCACACCGCGAGCAUCACUUGGACGUGACACGGAGCGGCGUGCGGCGGGGCAGCGAGUCCGGAACCAUCGCUCCUCGCACUGCAAUCAUUCCGCCUUCUUCCUCCGCUGGAAGCAAUCGGCGCGCAGCAAUCCCGACGCGGGCUCCGGGACCGUAGCACACCGCGGCUCGCCAUCCGGCACGGUUAACCGGGGGAAGUGUGCGCCUUUCUGCCUUCUCUAUGCUUUGUUACGGGGCUGACGGCAGCCCGCGUCCUCCUCCCCCUCCCGCAAUAUUCGAACCGCGGCUCCGAGCGCUCGGGCGGCGCGGGGUGCGGGCAGCAAAAUAGCCCCGGCUGCGCGGAGCGAAUUGCGCAGGAGAGGAAAACCGGAGCGGCCCGCACAUGUAAGUAUUCCUCGCUCCGAGCCUUGAAGUUGGGAGCGCCGGGCCCGGGGCGCGGAGCCGCACAAUGAGCGGCGAACGCCGCCGCCGAACGGCCGCUCUCGCGGAGGAUCUCCCACCGCCGCGCUCACACUUCCGUCCCUCACACUCACGGCGCGCACAAAAGAGCAACGGUGGUCCGAAAUAGCCUAAAAAAUAUACGAAACGCUACGAAAAAGCACCGAAAUCCUUCGUGCGGAGCGAGCGAGGAGCAAGCCGGAGAGGUCGGAGCGUGUUGGAGCCCGGAUUGUUUAAUAGAAAGAUUUAUCUGCGAACUGUAUUAUUUACUUUGGGAGGGGAGGCGGCGGUAUGAGGGUAUGCUAAUUAGCGGGAGAUUUUUGGGGGGAAGGGGUGGAAUAUCAAUUUUUAUUGCAUCACCUGUCAGGAGUGUCCAAUCAGCGUUGGCUUUAGGGGAAUUAAUUGAUGAAGGUGUCUCCGGACGAGCUCACUUCACUCUGUCAUUUUAUUUGUAGCUAAAGCAGCGGCGGGAAUAGCAGCUGCAUUGCUUUUCUCUUCCUCCCUUCACAUUCCAUUAUCAUAGUUUCCAAUGGAAAAGCAGGGAAUGAAAGGGAACAGGUACUGAUCUGCGGCAGCAACUUAGAGAAACACUUUGGCAAAGCUGAUUUUUAAGAUUACACAUUGAUUGUAGCCUCACGGUGGUGGUUUUUGGUCUUUUUUUUUUAACUUAUUUUUAUUUUUUUUUACAUUUUGUCUAAAGUUUGGCACUUCACCCACCAGGAAUAGCAGCAGCUCUGUUAGCAGGAUGCCUUGAGACAAAUACAGCAUCUGG